GGGAAGGUGGCUCAGUGGUAGAGCGCUUGCCUUGCAUGCAUGA
rfam:Dipodomys ordii contig_30926, whole genome shotgun sequence.